AAUCUACUCCCUCCGUCCGAAAAAAAAACUUGUCCGAAGCUUGUUCUUCAAAUGGAUGUAUCUAGCACUAACUUGAUGCUAGAUACAUCCAUUUGAGAGACAAGCUUUUUCGGACGGAGGGAAUACAAG
rfam:Triticum aestivum genome assembly, contig: Triticum_aestivum_CS42_TGACv1_scaffold_093295_2AL